ensembl:lncRNA
CUUGGCUAAGAGAGGUCAGUCACAUAGCAAAAUCUAAGCUCUCCUCUGCUGUAUUCAGGCUAGCUUAAAAAUGCAGAUAUAUUGCCAGCUGACUAGCAAGACGUUCUUCUUUCAACCUUGUUUUAAGAGGCCCCUGGUUUCUUGGAAGUGAGGGAGUGCAGCACUGAGAAGCAACGGGAAGAUGUCCUACACAUGGAGCGAUAGGCAGAUGCAGCUGCUCUAGGAUCCUCUGGUCAUCUGUUUUCAUUAAAACUUCACUUGUGCAUUUGACCUACCAGCUGGAUUCAGCAUAUGUCACUGGUAAAGAGAUUGAACAUUGAAAAUCACGAACAACAUUUACAUGAAACACUAGCUGCCACUAGCUUCACAUUCAUCUGUCAGGUGAUCAAAAUCUCAAUCUGAAUUUUUAGUCUGAACAUUUUUCUUCCUGUGGUCUCUUUACAACAAAAUUGCAUCCUCUUCCUUUCUGCGGCCUUCAGAUCAGUCUUUGCAACUUCUAAGUGACGGAUGAAGGAAAUCCUUAUUGCUUGAAGCAGCUCUACCUAUUUAUAUGAACCUGCCACGUGGUUUCCUAAAAUAUGAACUGACAAGGCCAUUCGUCUCUGAAAUGCUGCUGAAGAUGGUUUCAGAACUGGAGUGAUGAAGCCUGGUCGUAAUAGCUGCUGUCUCUUUCUUGUUGCCUCGUGUGCCAAGGUGUCCCAAAGCACAGCUGUGAAACAAAGUACCGUGGAAUAUUCCUUGAGAAUUCUACCCAGAUGUGAAAAGAAUAAGUGCAUUUUUUAAAACAGAUUUUAAGUUAAGCUGUUCAGCCUGAAAAUGUCAAAUAUGAAGAAGUGAUACUUUUGCUUAAUGUAAAACUGAAUCACUUCUUUAAUACGUAUAGCAUCUGAGUGAUUUAGUUAAGCUAUAUUAAAUUACAAUUCUGUUCUUGUUUUCUUGAUUAUAUUCAGAAUUACAAACUUCAGAUCUAUUGUUGUUAAAUAGGGAUAUUUUUCACUGUUCAGGUAUGAAUAUUUAAACAGUGCUAAAUUUCGAGGUAUACAGAUGAGCUAAUUUGAAAUUUUAAAUGAAUUAAAAGUUCAAUUUCUGAAAUGAUUUGUAAAGUCUUGCUUGAUUCUUGAGUGCUUCCAGGUGCUUCAAUAAAACCUGGUUCCAAAAAAUCCAGUAUUCUGUUUCUGAAAUUCACUAUUUAACCUCAUUCUUGUUAAUCUAGUACAAACUUUUAUUUCAUUUGACAGUACAGUUUUCAACUUUAUAGAUGAACCAGACAUUAAAACUCACAUAGCUUAUAAUUUACACGGAAAAUGGCAGAAAAAUAAAAGAUCAUUAGGGCUUGCAUUGCUAAAAUCAGAGCCAUCUGACCUCCUUUAACAAUUACUGCAUUUGAUAUUUAAUAACUUUCACAGAUUAACAUUGCUGACAAAUGAUCUGGUUUUCCAGUGGGUAGUUUAGCUCAUUGGAUCCAAAGGUAAAUAAAAGAAAAGGCAAUAAGCUCAUGGCUGUUAACAUGCUUUCAGCCCUUGGCCACCAUUUACCCCACUCCACAGCAUGUAGAAAAAUCUCUGCCCAGCUGUAAUGAGAAGCUCCACCCCAUAUUAUUCUUGUUACAUAGGUACAGGUACUUAUAGCAGAAGUGCAGAAUUCACAUUCUUUGUACAUUCUGUGAGAGAGAAAAAGCAAAUGGUCAAUCAAAUUAGUCUUUUCUCAGCAUCUCUGCCCAGUACAUUGCCCUUUAGAGCAGCGGAUUUAGUAUCAGUUGGUCUCUGCCUGGGGUACAUGACGGUUUACCUCAAAUUCAGGACUUGUCACUUCAAUAACAAUCUUUAAUUUUGGAUAUGUUUACUUUUUUUCUGUUUUCUUGUCUACUAUUCUAUUGUUUUGAAAUUCUUUUAUUGCUAAAUGCUGGAGAAAGCUCAUUUCAAACAUUCUGUUACACCAUUUUCUUUGUGUGUACCACAUACAACAGAGUUUUUCUUUCAAGUGCUGUAUUUCAUUUAAAACUGAUUGCACAAUUUUAG